rnacentral:rRNA from 1 species
AGAGUUUGAUCCUGGCUCAGGAUGAACGCUGGCGGCGUGCUUAACACAUGCAAGUCGAACGAGCCUUCGGGCUAGUGGCGGACGGGUGAGUAACGCGUGAGAAUCUGCCCUCAGGAGGGGGAUAACGGCUGGAAACGGCCGCUAAUACCCCAUAUGCCGCGAGGUGAAACGAGUUUUCGCCUGAGGAUGAGCUCGCGUCUGAUUAGCUAGUUGGUGGGGUAAGAGCCUACCAAGGCAUCGAUCAGUAGCUGGUCUGAGAGGAUGAUCAGCCACACUGGGACUGAGACACGGCCCAGACUCCUACGGGAGGCAGCAGUGGGGAAUUUUCCGCAAUGGGCGCAAGCCUGACGGAGCAACGCCGCGUGAGGGAUGAAGGCCUCUGGGCUGUAAACCUCUUUUCUCAAGGAAGAAGAACUGACGGUACUUGAGGAAUAAGCCACGGCUAAUUCCGUGCCAGCAGCCGCGGUAAUACGGGAGUGGCAAGCGUUAUCCGGAAUUAUUGGGCGUAAAGCGUCCGCAGGCGGUCUUGAAAGUCUGUUGUUAAAGCGUGGAGCUCAACUCCAUUUCAGCAAUGGAAACUAGAAGACUAGAGUGUGGUAGGGGCAGAGGGAAUUCCCGGUGUAGCGGUGAAAUGCGUAGAUAUCGGGAAGAACACCAGUGGCGAAGGCGCUCUGCUGGGCCAUAACUGACGCUCAUGGACGAAAGCCAGGGGAGCGAAAGGGAUUAGAUACCCCUGUAGUCCUGGCCGUAAACGAUGAACACUAGGUGUCGGGGGAAUCGACCCCCUCGGUGUCGUAGCUAACGCGUUAAGUGUUCCGCCUGGGGAGUACGCACGCAAGUGUGAAACUCAAAGGAAUUGACGGGGGCCCGCACAAGCGGUGGAGUAUGUGGUUUAAUUCGAUGCAACGCGAAGAACCUUACCAGGGUUUGACAUCCUGCGAAUCUUUUGGAAACAGAAGAGUGCCUUCGGGAGCGCAGAGACAGGUGGUGCGUGGCUGUCGUCAGCUCGUGUCGUGAGAUGUUGGGUUAAGUCCCGCAACGAGCGCAACCCACGUCUUUAGUUGCCAGCAUUAAGUUGGGCACUCUAGAGAGACCGCCGGUGAUAAACCGGAGGAAGGUGUGGAUGACGUCAAGUCAUCAUGCCCCUUACAUCCUGGGCUACACACGUACUACAAUGCUACGGACAAAGGGCAGCAAACUCGCGAGAGCUAGCAAAUCCCAUAAACCGUGGCUCAGUUCAGAUCGUAGGCUGCAACUCGCCUACGUGAAGGAGGAAUCGCUAGUAAUCGCAGGUCAGUAUACUGCGGUGAAUACGUUCCCGGGCCUUGUACACACCGCC